rnacentral:misc_RNA from 1 species
UUCCGGUUUUAUACAAAAUCAGGAUUUGCAUUAGCUGAAGCUGAAGCCACCCAAAAUCCCCAAAUAUGAGUUAUGACUCAUACAAUCUAGAUGCAUCACACAACAGUUAGCAUAAUUGCACUGUUAUUCACCCACCCAAGCUCACUAGACGAGAUCAGAAUCACAACAAUGUAAUGGAUGGGGUUUCAGCAACAUGUCACAUCAGAACUGGAUUGUUGCUCUUCAUCUACUACUCAAAUAUACAUGUACAACAAAAACGUAAUGUUCAUAACAUGUAUAAGAUGUCCGAGCAUCACAUGUUGGCUGUUGUUUCCUUAAUCUCCUCCAUAGUAAUCGUCUGUUCUUCUCCAGCAAAAUCAUUAUCAGGGGUCAGAAAAAGCAUGCAGUGACACUCCUUCCUCUCUCUCAUUGGUACACACGGACAAUUCCAGAAGCCCUGCUGCGCUUCUGCAGCUUUGUCAUCAUAAUGCCUGCAGGGGCAGAGUGGAGCACCCAAUGUAUCCUUGUGCUCUGCCAAACCCUUGAUGACCACAGAAGUAACACCUUUGUCCAUGCAGAAAUAUGUUUCUGACCUGCGAGCAUACUGCUCCGAGAAUUUCCUCAUGAUUUCAACAGAUUUCUCUGAUGGCUCCAUUUUGGCUACGGUGAGGCAGCGAUGAGUAGAAGAAGGCUUAGGACGAGUAGCAAAAGAUGAAAUUCCAAAGCCAACGCUGUAGGAGGUGGAAGCUUGAAGAGUUCUCAUGGCGGAUUCCGGUAGUUGUUGCUUCGUUGUCUCGUUUUCUGCUCCGACUUUCCGAUUGAGUCAAAAAUGUGAUUCUGUUAACCACCACAACUUCGGAAAGGAAAAAAUCUCUUUCGUACAGCGUUGAUAUUUAUA